AUGGAGAACGCGCACACCAAGACCGUGGAGGAGGUGCUCGGCUACUUCGGCGUCAACGAGAGCACCGGGCUGAGUCUGGAGCAGGUCAAGAAGCUCAAGGAGCGCUGGGGCUCCAACGAACUGCCAGCAGAAGAAGGGAAAACCUUAUUGGAGCUUGUCAUUGAACAGUUUGAAGAUUUAUUAGUUAGAAUUUUACUGCUGGCAGCUUGCAUAUCUUUUGUCCUGGCCUGGUUUGAAGAAGGUGAAGAAACAGUCACAGCAUUCGUGGAGCCUUUUGUAAUCCUGCUUAUCUUAGUGGCCAAUGCCAUUGUGGGUGUGUGGCAGGAAAGAAAUGCUGAGAAUGCAAUUGAAGCUCUUAAGGAAUAUGAACCUGAAAUGGGUAAAGUUUAUCGUCAGGACAGGAAGAGUGUCCAGCGGAUCAAAGCCAAAGACAUAGUUCCUGGGGAUAUUGUGGAAAUAGCUGUUGGUGACAAAGUUCCUGCCGACAUAAGGUUGACGUCCAUCAAGUCUACCACCUUACGAGUGGAUCAGUCAAUUCUCACAGGGGAAUCUGUCUCUGUUAUUAAACACACGGACCCUGUGCCUGAUCCCCGGGCUGUCAAUCAAGAUAAGAAGAAUAUGCUCUUUUCUGGUACAAAUAUUGCCGCUGGAAAAGCCAUGGGAGUAGUUGUCGCCACUGGCGUGAACACUGAAAUUGGCAAAAUCCGUGACGAAAUGGUGGCGACCGAGCAAGAGCGGACACCCCUGCAGCAGAAGCUGGACGAGUUUGGGGAGCAGCUGUCCAAAGUCAUCUCCCUCAUUUGCAUCGCCGUCUGGAUGAUCAACAUUGGGCACUUCAAUGACCCGGUGCAUGGGGGGUCCUGGAUCAGGGGCGCCAUCUACUACUUUAAAAUUGCAGUCGCCCUGGCUGUCGCGGCCAUUCCUGAGGGUCUGCCUGCAGUCAUCACCACCUGCCUGGCCCUGGGCACCCGCCGAAUGGCCAAAAAGAACGCCAUCGUCCGGAGCCUGCCGUCCGUGGAGACCUUGGGCUGCACCUCAGUCAUCUGCUCAGACAAGACCGGCACUCUGACCACCAACCAGAUGUCUGUGUGCAGGAUGUUUAUUCUGGACCGAGUGGAAGGGGAUAGCUGCUCCUUGAAUGAGUUUACCAUAACUGGGUCAACAUACGCACCCAUGGGAGAAGUGCACAAGGAUGACAAACAAGUGAAGUGUCACCAGUACGACGGUCUCGUAGAGCUGGCCACCAUCUGUGCCCUUUGCAAUGACUCUGCUUUAGACUACAAUGAGGCAAAAGGUGUGUAUGAAAAGGUUGGGGAAGCCACGGAGACGGCCCUCACUUGUCUGGUUGAGAAGAUGAACGUCUUUGACACGGAGCUCAAAGGCCUCUCCAGGAUCGAGCGCGCCAAUGCCUGCAACUCGGUUAUCAAACAACUGAUGAAGAAAGAAUUCACCCUUGAGUUUUCAAGAGAUAGAAAAUCCAUGUCUGUCUAUUGUACACCCAACAAACCCAGCCGGACCUCGAUGAGCAAGAUGUUUGUGAAGGGAGCCCCCGAAGGUGUCAUCGACAGGUGCACACACAUCCGGGUGGGGAGCACCAAGGUUCCCAUGACCCCCGGGGUCAAACAGAAGAUCAUGACGGUUAUCCGGGAAUGGGGCACGGGCAGGGAUACGCUGCGCUGCCUGGCACUGGCCACACACGACAAUCCGCCCAGGAGAGAGGAGAUGAACCUGGAGGACUCGGCCAACUUCAUUAAGUACGAGACCAACCUGACUUUUGUCGGCUGCGUGGGCAUGCUGGAUCCCCCCAGGACCGAGGUGGCCUCAUCCAUAAAGCUCUGUCGGCAAGCCGGCAUCCGCGUCAUCAUGAUCACGGGCGACAACAAGGGCACCGCCGUGGCCAUCUGCCGCCGCAUCGGCAUCUUUGGGAACGACGAGGACGUCACCGCCAAGGCUUUCACAGGCCGCGAGUUCGAUGAGCUCAAUCCCUCAGCGCAGAGGGAUGCCUGCCUCAACGCCCGCUGCUUCGCCAGGGUCGAGCCUUCCCACAAGUCCAAGAUUGUCGAGUUCCUCCAGUCUUUUGAUGAGAUUACAGCAAUGACUGGGGACGGUGUCAAUGAUGCGCCGGCCCUCAAGAAAUCGGAGAUCGGCAUCGCCAUGGGCUCGGGGACCGCAGUGGCCAAAACCGCAUCGGAGAUGGUGCUGGCCGAUGACAACUUCUCCACCAUCGUGGCAGCCGUGGAGGAGGGGCGUGCCAUCUACAACAACAUGAAGCAGUUCAUCCGCUACCUCAUCUCUUCCAACGUGGGGGAGGUCGUGUGUAUCUUCCUGACUGCUGCCCUCGGUUUUCCCGAGGCUCUGAUCCCCGUCCAGCUCUUGUGGGUGAACCUGGUGACGGACGGCCUGCCAGCCACGGCCUUGGGCUUCAACCCUCCCGACUUGGACAUCAUGAACAAGCCACCCCGGAACCCCAAAGAGCCCCUCAUCAGCGGCUGGCUCUUCUUCCGCUACCUGGCCAUCGGAUGUUAUGUCGGGGCUGCCACUGUGGGGGCGGCUGCAUGGUGGUUCAUCGCUGCUGACGGUGGUCCAAGAAUCACCUUCUACCAGCUGAGUCACUUCCUGCAGUGUAAGGAGGACAAUCCAGACUUUGAGGGCGUGGACUGUGGGAUCUUUGAAUCCCCGUACCCCAUGACGAUGGCGCUGUCUGUGCUGGUGACCAUUGAGAUGUGCAACGCGCUCAACAGCUUAUCAGAGAACCAGUCCCUGUUGAGGAUGCCUCCGUGGGAGAACAUCUGGCUGGUAGGCUCCAUCUGCCUCUCCAUGUCCCUGCACUUCCUGAUCCUCUAUGUAGAACCUCUGCCGCUCAUCUUCCAGAUCACGCCUCUGAACGUGACCCAGUGGCUCAUGGUGCUGAAGAUCUCCCUGCCUGUGAUCCUUAUGGACGAGACCCUGAAAUUUGUGGCCCGUAACUACCUGGAACCUGGUAAAGAGUUUGUGCAGCCCGCCACCAAACCGUGCUCUUUCCCAUCCUGCACCGAAGGGAUUUCCUGGCCGUUUGUGCUGAUCAUUAUGCCCUUGGUUAUCUGGCUUUAUAGCACAGACACUAACUUUAGUGACAUGUUCUGGUCUUGACUGACAUAGUUUUACAUAAAAGAUGUUUAACUUAAUCAAUUAAUUUUUUUUAUUGUUUAAAGCAACUGUCUAUUUCUGCUGAAUUUUCACAUGAACAUGUUUGCUGGUGAAGGAGGUUUCAUACUCUAGAUUUUGUUUUGCUUUUUCUGACUCCAGUGGGGCAAGAUUUUCCUUUUUUAUACACAUAAUUAAAGUGUCCAUUGACAUGUACAGAGAACUAACACUAUUUUAUGCAAAUAUUUUUUUGUAGAUGAAAAAGCAUGUACAGUGUUCUGUCUAAUAGUCUCAUCCUUGUAUAAAGAAAUCGUUGAGCCAGCAGACAUUGUCAGCAAAUUAAUUGGCGGCAGAUUUUAGGGAAUGAAUGUGUGUGGUUUUUUUUUUCUAAAACUAAGUAGCAUGUAUUGUCUUCUGCAUGAUCACCUGGAUUUAAUUUGAUGUCACGGUCUAAUUUUUUUAUUCAUAAGCCAAUUUUUCUGCACUGAGCAGAGUACUGCUACCUCAGUCAGUAUUUUUGGUUUGCCGCCCCCUCCCGCCCCUCACCGUCAGCACCGCCCCCCGCCCUUCCCCUGUUCCCCUCUUGGCUUCUUGGUUCUCGGAUGCCGAUGGUUAUGUUUACAUCCGUCUCAAUAAGAGGUAGGCCUAUUCUCGCUUGUGCAGAAAACAUUGUUCCAGAUUCACUCUCCUGGACUCAUCUCCCCGAUGUAGUUUUUAAGGUUAUUUAUUUAAACGUCUAAUGUAUUUUCUUGUAACAGACAUUGUUUUGCCAAUGUUGCCCACUUCAGCGGCACUUAUCUAGUUUUAAAAGAAAUAAAUAAAACCUUUUAAAUGGACAGAGGAAAAGACCUGUCUCGUUUUAACUCUAAAAGUGGCUUAAGCCUAGGCGGGACUCCUUGCUGAUCAGAGAAAUCUCCCUUCGAGGCCUUAGACCAGAGCCCUGGCGUUCGGCUUGAGAGGGGCAGAGCCUGGCACAGUUAGAAGUUGGGUCUGAGGGCAUGAACCAUCUGCUAGAUACGUGAGAGACAUACGGGGGGAGGGGGGUGCGCGUGUUUUGUAAAAUCUGUAAAUAGCACCUGACCAAAUGGACAUAUUGUAUAGAACGGUUUUUAUUUUCCUGUGGCACUAACCACCACCAUCAUUAUCAUGGUUGAUGUUUGCGCAUGUUUUCGAGUUCAGUCCAAUACCAACAGCGUGUGAGUCUUUAACUGUCCUAACUGUGGUGUUUUUCUCCAAUGCCUUCCAACAUUCAUCAACUAAACAAUACUGGAGUAACCGCUUCCUAAACCAUUUUGCAGAAGUGUGAGGUUGUUUUGUUGCGUGCAUGUGCGUUUUUUUAGCAACAUCUACCGGUCCUCUGCAUGUGUGAUGUUGGAAAAAAAAAACCAAAAAGAGCAAAAAAAAAAAAAAAAAAAAACCCACAAAAAAAGGAAAAAAACAAUCCUCUCGAGCUCAUUGUGUGUGAUGUGGAGGACGUGUGUUGCCGAUGGGGUUUCACUUUUUAAAAAGAAUCAAAUACUACUUUACAAACGUGCAAUAUAGCUUAAAUCCGAAAACCCUCCCGGGAAGUUUGGUUCUUUGCUGCACGGAGAUAGACGGGAGUCUUUAAAAACUUCAACCGCCUGAGAAUCAGGAGCCGGCAGCCAAGUUUCCAUAGCUCUCCCCGGGAUACAAUGCCAUAGCCUCUCUAAUGUACAAACCCUCGAUUGUAAUGCAUGCCUUCUGUUGUGAGUAGCCAACCUCCUGUACGGUCUCAUCGAAACGUGCUACUUUAUAAACCGGCCGUGUACAGUUCGCUUAUUUAUAAACUCAUGGAAAACACUACAGAUGUUGAAUGUUCAAAAUCAUAGCCAGCCCUCCAGUCCAGAACUGAAGUUUGGUGGUUGUUAUUAUUAUUAUUUUUUAAAAUGUGUGCAAACAACUCUUUUUGCACUGUAAUAAUGUAACUUAUUUAAGGAAAUCCAAGCAGUAGACAGAUGUUGGUGCAAUAAUACAAAUAUCGUGAUGCGUUUAUCUUAGACCUAAUGCUACAAGUCCACUUUUGAUCACAAACGCAUGUUGGACGUUAGAGACUGUAAAUAAAGAUGAGUUGUUGAUUCUCUGUGCUGAGAAUAAUCAGCAUCACAACCAUCAUGGUUUCAGGUAAAUAAAUUUAUUCUACAAUACA